rnacentral:lncRNA from 1 species
AUGGUGAUGACUCUUAACGAGCAUGCUGCCUUCAAGCAUCUGUUUAACAAAGCACAUCUUGCACCGCCCUUAAUCCAUUUAACCCUGAGUGGACACAGCACAUGUUUCAGAGAGCACAGGGUUGGGGAUAAGGUCAUAGAUCAACAGGAUCCCAAGGCAGAAGAAUUUUUCUUAGUACAGAACAAAAUGAAAAGUCUCCCAUGUCUACUUCUUUCUACACAGACACGGCAACCAUCCGAUUUCUCAAUCUUUUCCCCACCUUUCCCCCUUUUCUAUUCCACAAAACCGCCAUUGUCAUCAUGGCCCGUUCUCAAUGAGCUGUUGGGUACACCUCCCAGACGGGGUGGUGGCCGGGCAGAGGGGCUCCUCACUUCCCAGUAG